rnacentral:lncRNA from 1 species
CGGAUCUUGGUUGGCCGGUCCCGCCCCUGUCACGUGACAGCGUGCGCCUCUCUUCCUGCUUUCCUGACCCUCUCCGCCAUUUAAAGAAACAGUACCGGGGGCGGGCCGAGCGACGCAGCCGGGACGGUAGCUGCGGUGCGGACCGGAGGAGCCAUCUUGUCUCGUCGCCGGGGAGUCAGGCCCCUAAAUCGAAGAAGCCCUGGCGCGCCCUCCCCCCCUCCCGGGUCUGGUAGGGCGAAGGAACGGGCGUGCGGUCGAUCGAGCGAUCGGUUGGCGGCUCUUUCUCCUGCUCUGGCAUCCAGCUCUUGGGGCGCAGGCCCGGCCGCCGCGGCGCGCGCCCGGUGGCCGUUGGCGCUCGCGCCGCGUCUUUCUUCUCGUACGCAGAACUCGGGCGGCGGCCUAUGCGUUUGCGAUUCGACGAGGAGUCGUCCGGGUGGUCGGCGGCGGCGGGCAGCUGCUCCGCCCCGCUCCGGGGGAGGCGGCGGCGGCAGCGGCCGCGGGAUUUGGAGCGGCCGGGGAGGCGGGGGUGGCCGGGGCCGGCUUGGAGGCCUGGCGCCACCCUUCGGGGCCUGCAAGGACCCAGUUGGGGGGGCAGGAGGGGGCCGGAGGAUGGUUGGUUGUGGGAUUUCUACUUUGCCUUUUCCUCCUUAUGCCGCCUUAGUGAGGGGCGGGAGCUCUGGCGGCAGCCCCGGGGUGGGGAGACGAGCUCCGGAGUCGGAAGAGCUGGGUUUUCUUCCGGGCCUAGCCACCAGUUGGCGGAGUGACCUUAGGCGAGUCACUCUGUAAUUUGUCUGCGCCUCAGUUUCCUCCUCUGCCUAUCAAUGUGUGUGGGGUUGAAAUCGCUUUGUAAACUAUAAAGCGUGGGUGUACGUAAAGGAUGGUUAUUGUUUAUAAUUUUUUUUGAGUUGUAAGAAAACUUAGCAGUUCCCCAAUCCUUGGGUUUUGAACCUGGGAACCUUGGAUUGGAGUUGGGGAUCCCCAAACUUCCUGAAAUUGUGGGAAUGUGCGGUUUGGGGGAAUGAUGGGAAUUUGUGGGAAUGUGCGUUUUAGGGGAAUGAUGAUCCAUCGCUAGCAAGUUUUCCAAGGGGGCUGUGACCCAGAAGAGUUAAGAAUCACAAUUUCUUCAUGCUACAGAGAGGAAACUGAGGCCUAGAUGUCAUUUGGGACCCUUCACAACCAUUUUGAAGCCCUGUUUGAGUCCCUGGGAUAUGUGAGCUGUUUCUAUGCAUAAUGGAUAUUCGGGGUUAACAACAGUCCCCUGCUUGGCUUCUAUUCUGAAUCCUUUUCUUUCACCAUGGGGUGCCUGAAGGGUGGCUGAUGCAUAUGGUACAAUGGCACCCAGUGUAAAGCAGCUACAAUUAGGAGUGGAUGUGUUCUGUAGCAUCCUAUUUAAAUAAGCCUAUUUUAUCCUUUGGCCCGUCAACUCUGUUAUCUGCUGCUUGUACUGGUGCCUGUACUUUUCUGACUCUCAUUGACCAUAUUCCACGACCAUGGUUGUCAUCCAUUACUUGAUCCUACUUUACAUGUCUAGGCUGUGUGGUUGGUGGUGAAUAGGCUUCUUUUUACAUGGUGCUGCCAGCCCAGCUAAUUAAUGGUGCACGUGGACUUUUAGCAAGCGGGCUCACUGGAAGAGACUGAACCUGGCAUGGAAUUCCUGAAGAUGUUUGGGGUUUUUUUCUUUCUUAAUCGAAAGUUAACAUUGUCUGAAAAGUUUUGUUAGAACUACUGCGGAACCUCAAAAUCAGUAGAUUUGGAAGUGAUUCAAAGCUAAACUUUUUCCUUGGCCCUCCUUGUGUUCUAAUUGCUUGCAAGUGUAAUACUAGGAUGUCCAAGAUGCCAGUUUUUGCUUCUUUGUUAGUUGUCAGCUGCUUUUAUCAAAUUUCAGGCCAUUAUCCAACAAACACUAUAAAAAUGUUUGAACAAUUGGAUUUCAAACAUUUUCGUUUUGUGGAGUGGUGCUCACCAAGUGGUACAGCCCUAAGCAAGUGAACACAAACACAUUUAAGUGUAUUUUGUCUGAUUAGAUGUUAGCCAGUUAUGCUAUUUCAUUCAAAUGUCUGAAAAAAUCAAUUGACUAUUCCCUUUUCCUAAAGGGCAGAGACAGAUAAUCUCACUUCCAGAGAAAUGACUUGGAGAAAAAAAAGUGUUGGUCUUUUUGCUCUUUUGUAAUUAAAUCCGGAUGUACCUCAAAAGACUUAAGACUGUGGUGAUAAGAUGCUUUCCUCAGCAGAAAGGAGGGAAAAAAAACAACUGGAACUCAAAGCUUGAAAUUCUGUGGCAAAACAUGAGAUGUCCAGGAUUGGAGGUUGAAAAGAUUUCACUACAGUGUUCUGCAAUAGUUGGAGCAGAUAACUUUCAGUGUAGCCACAGCCAUGGACUCCAGAUUUCCAGAUUUUCAAGACCUGGACCUGGAACCCGAAAGAGCUUGUCACGAUGCGGCAGGAACACUGGAGUCCUGUGCCUCCUGAUUGCUGAGUGUUCACCUGGACCUUCUGACUACCUUCCCUGUGCUAUUCCAUCAGCCUACAGACCUGGUACCUGGAUUUUUGCCCGAGAUGAUUCCUACCACCUUACUACUGACGAAGACACCCAUUCCAGUGGACCACUGUGACCCAGGAGGCAUUCAGCCAUCAUGAUGUGGCCUUUACCUCCACUCCUGUCUUGUUCUACCCAGAUUCAGCACAGCCCUUUAUAGUGAAGUCAGAGUCCUCAAGCCAAAUAGCUAAAGCUGUUUUAUCACAACAAAGGCCUAGUUUGUUCCAUGAGUGUGCAUUUCAUUUCUUCAGUUAAAGCCUUCAGAGACACACAAUAAAUUUGGACCAGGGGAUUUUUUAGUUAUUAAUGCUCUCUGAAGAAAGGCAACAUCUUUUUGAGAGCAGCAUUGGACCACACCCCACAAUCUCAAAUGAUUGAAAUUCAUGAACAUCUAGGAUCCCGUGAAGGUCACUGGACCCUGUUUUUUCUACUUCAAAUCCUGUAGUAGCCUACUGAAUGAGAAAACAUAUUCUGACCCAUUGGGAUCAAAUCAAAGGCACAGUGAACUCCUCAUAGCAUCUUCUUUGGAAUUACUCAGGAACCAGAACUUUUUACACAAAUGUAAGAAAUUCUACCAAGGAGUCCCCUUACCUAACAGCAUCUCACAAGGCUGCACCAGAUUCCAGAAAAGGCUUCUCUUGAUACAUCAAGGUAGA